CUGUAGCCGGCACAGUGCGCUGCGCAUUUGAAGACGGGAAGUGGAUUAUAACGCGCGGUUUUGUUGUUUGGAACGAAGUGACAGAUUGGAAGAAGGCAGCCGUGUCUGAUAAACAAGGUCCGUCGGUCAAUGCUGUUCGGGUCCGUAAUGAAUGUAGUAGGCUCUUCAGUAGAAGUGCUGGACUGUACAUACUUGGAAAAUACUUUCACAAAGACAUUAUUACUGGAUCACUUGGGAGAUGUUACACCGACAUUCCAGUUUUCCUCCGUUUCAUGCCAACGGUGGCUGUCGGAUGUCUGUAACCCGAUAACCGGGUCGUGUGGGGAGACAGUGAGAUUUUCUGGCUUUGUGCACCACUUUCUCCCACUUGUGUGAAUUUGUCACCUGAGGAUAGAUGGACAAGUGAAACAUAAAAUUUAGGAUGAAAUUUGUGACGUCUUGACUAAAUAGAACAGUGGGGAGCCCGACAGUAGUCGGGGCAAACACAGCUGUCAAAGAUGAUGCUGUAAUUUUCACAAGUUAAGAAUUUGGAGUGAGUCUGGAAAAUGUAAAACUCAUGCAUUUUUGGUGUAACUGCUGCUCCCAGGUGAAGAGAAAACUGACUCAGGCUGCAGCUAACGAGUUGGAAGACUGCUCAUAAAGUUUUGAUUACUCUUUCUCACAAGGCUAGUUGAACGAAUGGCCCGCCUGCAGAUGAGAUGGUGAGGCGAGCCGUACUACGCACAUCUCUAAUGUGAAGUACAUCAAAUACCCUGCAAGAUGUGUGUGACCUACAUUGUGGCAGAGCCUGUUGCCAUCAGUGACAGACAACUCGCUUAUUGGUUCUAUGAGCAGGUGUGUAAUAUAAGUGGUGGCAGAAAAUUGCACUGGUUGCUGCCUUCAUCACUUUUCAUUCGUGCAUCAGCGUUAUGGACCGGUUGCUACGUGAUGGGUGGAUGAGGGGUUUUAAAUCUGGCACUAUUUCCUGUGGAUCAAUAUUGAGAAGUGGCAGCAGUGUCCACCACGUCUUUCCGUACGGCACAAAUACCUUAUCGUGCGGACCUGUCACAGCUUGCAGUCGUCUUGAGGUUACCGGGAGGCGAAGAUGCAGUACACGGCGAACAGGAGGCACCCUUUGAUAAGUUACUAGUCAAAGAUUUGCAUUCGUGCAGUUCUUCUUAUUGUAAUGCACAAUUUCAGAUAAAAAAAAUUGUGGUUUUUGAAAAAUUUGCAGAAUAUUUGUGUGAACUUGGUAGAUUAUGUUUGAGGAAAUGCUGAUAUCGAUUCAGCUGAGGCAGUAAAUGUAGGGAACAUGGCUGUAAGGUUCUACUUUUAUGUUGUCAUCUGUGUUUUUAGAAGCUAUAGAAGAAAUAUUGAGAUUUCCAAUACAAAUUAGCUUUCAGUGGCGCAAGAGGUGUUUAACAAAAUAGUCACCUUGUGUUGGUUGCUUGCUGCACUAUUGUAAAAACAGAUUUAUUGGGCUUUUUAGAGUGUAAGUGUUUGUAAAUGGACAGGCCUGAAGAAAUUUUAACAUGCCCGCUGGAAAGGCUUACCAUUGCAGUUCCCAUUAGCAGUGUGCAAAGUGUACAUUCUCUGUGCUUGCUGAGGAUCCGAGCCAGAGUUUCAUUGUACACAGUGGAAUUUUUUAAUCCCAAUAUGUUGCACUUCUGGCUUGUUCCCUUGCGAGGAACGUCAUAACCCUUUGACACUGAAACACAAAUUCUGAACUUAGGGGGAAUGUGCGCAUCAAUUGUUUGGCAAAUAACACACUUUUAAAUGAGUUCAGGAAACCUGUGUAAUUUCUUAUAUCCCAUGCUUUUUUGCUACUGAUAACCAAGAUCUUAUUCUUGUACAUACCAGAUUGUGCAACUCAGCACUCUCAGCUGUAAUGAAGGUUUCAGAAAGAGAGGAUAUGUCCAUGCGACUGAGAGUGGCAGGAGAUAUCUGUUUCUUGCUCUGUUGGAUAUGUUCUAUUUCUGUGUCCUUCUUGAACAUGGAUAUAAAACUGUUAAAUGGGUUAAAGAAUAACGUAGUCCACCCCAGUCUAUUCUGAGACUGUGUUUACUUUAGCAAAUCUGUUAGAAAAAUGUGAGGAUGUCUCUCCUUGUGUCUGCUUAGCUUCACAGAUCCCAGGAGAAGACAAAUAACACCUGCCUCUCACUCUUUUCACAUAUUUCAAGGCGACUAUGUGAUAGUGGCAGAAAUAAAGUU